GCCAGGCGUGGUGGCGCGAGCCUGUAAUCCAGCUAUUCCGGAGGCUGAGGCUGGCGGAUCACUUGAGCUCAGGAGUUCUGGGCUGCAGUGGGCUAUGCCGAUGGGGUGUCCGCAUUAAGUUCGGCAUCAAUAUGGUGAUCCCCGGGGAGCCUAGGGCCACCAGGUUGCCUAAGGAGGGGUGAACCGGCCCAGGUCAGAGACGGAGCAGGUCUUUAUUGUUCAUUUGGAAAACAGGGCACCAGUUCACUUCUGAUGUACAUGUCACUGUAAAUGCUUCUC
rnacentral:SRP_RNA from 1 species